GUGAAUCAUCAAAUCUUUGAACGCAAAUUGCACUCUCUGCUGAGAGGAUGCCUGUGUGAGUGUCAGCCUAAAAAAAAUCGACAUAGUCUCUGUUUCGCGUGGACAUUCGUCGUUAAUGGGUUCAUCUUAAACCUUUUGUGUUAAAGCGUCUUAAAAUUUUCUUGACUAAUCCACCAACGUUUCUAGCAUGUUACUUCUUACACGUUUAAAGUAUCGA
rnacentral:misc_RNA from 1 species